UCCCUAUGGGGUGCAGCAGGCGAGAAAACUCUGCAAUGUGCGAAAGCACGACAAGGUUAAUCCGAGUGGUUUCUGCUAAAGGAACCUUUUGUCAGUCCUAGAAACACUGAUGAAUAAGGGGUGGGCAAGUUCUGGUGUCAGCCGCCGCGGUAAAACCAGCACCUCAAGUGGUCAGGAUGAUUAUUGGGCCUAAAGCAUCCGUAGCCUGCUUUGUAAGUUUUCGGUUAAAUCCAUACGCUCAACGUAUGGGCUGCCGGGAAUACCGCAAAGCUAGGGAGUGGGAGAGGUAGACGGUACUCGGUAGGAAGGGGUAAAAUCCUUUGAUCUAUUGAUGACCACCUGUGGCGAAGGCGGUCUACCAGAACACGUCCGACGGUGAGGGAUGAAAGCUGGGGGAGCAAACCGGAUUAGAUACCCGGGUAGUCCCAGCUGUAAACUAUGCAAACUCAGUGAUGCAUUGGCUUGAUGCCAAUGCAGUGCUGCAGGGAAGCCGUUAAGUUUGCCGCCUGGGAAGUACGUACGCAAGUAUGAAACUUAAAGGAAUUGGCGGGGGAGCACCACAAGGGGUGAAGCUUGCGGUUUAAUUGGAUUCAACGCCGGGA
rnacentral:rRNA from 1 species